GCCGGGGUGGUGGAAUUGGUAGACACGCUUGACUUAGGAUCAAGUGCCGUAAGGUGUGCAGGUUCGAGUCCUGUUCCCGGUA
rnacentral:tRNA from 1 species